rnacentral:rRNA from 1 species
UACAGAGGGUGCGAGCGUUUGUUCGGAAUUAUUGGGCGUAAAGGGCGCGUAGGCGGUGCGGUAAGUCACCUGUGAAAUCUCCUGGCUCAACUGGGAGCUUGCAGGCGAAACUGCCGUGCUGGAGUGUGGGAGAGGUGCGUGGAAUUCCCGGUGUAGCGGUGAAAAUGCGUAGAUAUCGGGAGGAACACCUGUGGCGAAAAGCGGCGCACUGGACCACAACUGACGCUGAGGCGCGAAAAGCUAGGGGGGAGCAAAACAGGG